CUUACAAUUUGAACAGUAUUCGGUUGUGUUAAUUAUUAAUAAAAUACUAAAUUCUAUUUAAAUUAGAAUGUUAUACAAUAUACUAUGAACUGAAAAAAGCGGCAAUAAUAUCAGAGUACGGUUGAUUGAUUAUUUUUAAGGGUGGUAACAUUUUGCUGAUUGUGUCACAGGAGACUAGACAAAUAUGGAAAAGAGUUUUUUAGGAGCGACAGUGGAACUAAAGGCCGUUCGCUGUCAAAAGAGGUGAUUAAUGAAUGGUUGACAUCAACGUGACGGGAAACUAGAGUUGAUAAGUUAAUAGAGUUGAGGACAAGGAAGUUAUUACGAAGAGAAUAUUUCCAAUUCAAUAUAUGGGAAAUAAAGUGGACAUAAUAACAAGCUUUUUAACAAAGAUGAUCUCGCCUUCGGGUUGUUAUAAAAGUGGAUGCAAAGUACUGUCGAACAACGUCGGAGAUUUGAAAUAUCACAUAAGACAGCUGGAAGCAAAGUUGUCGCUUUUCGAUGAGGUGACGGAAGAGAAGGAAGAAUUGAAAAAACAAUUGGCCGACUUGUCCAAAUGGAUGGACGACGUAAUAAGGAAACAAAAAGAUAUGUUCGGUCAGUUGACGAAAGGGCACGAAGAGGUGUGGUGCAUGUACCAGAGCACCAAGAGAGAUUUGGACAGGAGCAAGUCCGAGAUAGCGAGUGCCAACGCUGAACUUUUGGAGUUGAACGAAAGGACCGCGAGAGCAAACGACCGGGCGAAACAAUUGGAAAAACAGAAGGAAUGCUCGCAAGAGAAAAUACAACUUCUGGAAAAACGGCUGUGCGAGGAGUUGAGUAACUUGGACGCGUUCAAAUGUAAAUACCAGAGCCAAGAGGCGUGCUUGCAACAGAAGACCGGCGAGCUGGACAGGGCCAAACAAACGGUGGACGAACAGGCCGAGCGGUUGACCAAGUUGAAAUCCGACUUGCGAAUGGUCAGGGGCAAAUUGGAUUUGGAACGCGAGAAUUGCGCGCAGAUCAAAAACGAAGCGGCGAUCAACGAGAAGAGAACGCUAAAAGAAAAGGAAACCCUGGAGUCGCAGAUCGAGAUCAUGGACAAAGACAAAGUCGAGAUGGAAAACGUUUUGGCCGAGCAGAACGCCACGGUACAAGAGUUGAACAGGAAAACGUUGGACAUGAAACAGCGCAACGACGAGAUCAAGUGCAUGUUGGAAAAAGAAAGGUGCCAGUCGGACGAGCGCAUAGCGAAGCUGACCAACGACAAACAGUGUCUGGAGGCGGCGGCGGAAGAGCUGAACUGCAAAAUGUCCGUUUGCGCCAAGGAGUCGGCCCGGUUGAAGUGCGAAAACGAAAAGCUCAGCAAGCUGGUGAAAGAGCUGCAAAACAAACUGGAAGCGGCGGCCAGGUGCCACGAUGAGCAAACGCGGGCGGCCGACGAGGAACACAGGUGCGUCUCCGAAGCCAAGAACCGGCUGCAGUGUUGCUUGGAUUCGGCCAACCGCAAGGUAGAUCAGCUCGAGGAGGACUUGGCCAACGUGAGGAAAUCGUACGCGGCCGAGAAGGAAACCGUUUGCGAACUGAGGAAAACCAUUGCCGACCUGCAGUUCAAUCAACAGCUCGUGCCCAACCCGGCCGGCGCUUGCUCCGGCAAAAACAUAGAUCUACAGCUGGCCGACUUCGGCAAAGUGUUGGACAACAUAACCGGCGACUGUUGCAAGAAACCCGACGGUUCCCGGGGGAAACCCAAGAAUUUGGAACAGCUGGUCAAAGAGCUGAGCACCAUAAGCGAUUCGUUGGCACGGUCGUCUCCGUGUUGACGGACGUCCGCGAGUAUCAAUGUUCGGCGCAUAAGACAAAAGCUACAAGUGGUGGUAUGUAAAAAAAACCGUAAAUCUUGCCCUUGACCAUAAGAGAUGAACUAUGUUUUUUCUUCAAACAUUGCGCUGGUAACAGAUUUCGUUUUAUCUACAUUGUUUGUUAUUUUCAAGUUUCAAUUGGACAAAAUAUAUUUUGUAUCCAUUUUUAAGUUUAAAAAAGGAAAAAAGUUCUUCAUAAAAUAUGUUUAGAGUAAAACAAAAUAUUACAAUAAUUGUAAUAAUUUGUUUGAUAACUUUUAUUAUAAAAAUAUAAUAUUUUAUCUUAUAUUAUAAUAAAAUAUCUCUUGAGUAUAAAAAACUGUACGCUGAAUGAUCUUUAAUAGACAUUUUGGUGCUAUGGAAUUCAUAUUAACUUGUAAAAACAGAUUAAAUAAAACAAUUUGGAAAUUUAUUUAUGUUAAAAAAAAAAUAGUCAUGACAAAUAAUAACAAUUAAUAAUUUACACAUUAAUUAUCAUAAAUUAUCUUUCAUGAAAUAACGAGUCUGGCUUAAAGUUUUCCUCUCAAAUGUUUUUUCUCAUUAUCUCAAUUAAGAUGAGUGUUUUUUUCAGGGAAGCACUAUAAAACCUGUCGAAUAGAAAAUCAAAUGCGUACUUUAAGUAUUGGCAAAACUUUUCAAACUCGGGGUUUUCUUUUUCGGCAUAUGUCCAAUAAAUUGUAUACAACGUAAGCAGUUCAUUCAUGUUUGGAUGUGAUUCCAGGACUUGUAUAAUUGACGGAGGGGGAAUGUCUUCUAAAAACUCAUGAGGUGGUCUCGAAUUGAUUAAAAAGUACUUAAACUCCUAAAACAUAAUUAGUGUCAGCUAGCUUUUAAACAUUUUAUGUGUAAAUACAUAAAACAUUAUGUUAACUAAUAGUAGAAAAAAUCCAGAUGCGUUGAAUUUAGAAUCGGAAUAUUACUGUAUAAUUACAGAUUUCGGUUUUUUUUUUAAAUCCAUUUUGGAUUGUUUUAUUAAUGUUUUGUAAUAAAUGUACUUGUAAACAGUAACAAGUAAAACGUUUAUUAAUUUUUGCCAAACAAUGACGUUGAGCACAUUAAGUAGAAUUUAAGGUAAAAAACAACAAAAUCCGGAUUUUUUGAUUAUUUCGGAUUAUUUGUUACACAACUACGCUUAAGUAGGCACAAUAAAACACAUACCUUUUCUUCGUCCACUAAACGGACAUCGAAAACCCCAGUAGGAACCCAUAUUAAAUCGUCAAUGCUCUCAUCUGGCAUCAGCUCGUUUUGUUUGGCGAUUAUUAACGGUUUGGCUCCGUUCCAUUUGUCCGUGUCGCUGAAGUACUUGUCGAACAAUAUGGUAAACGAUUUGUUUAUCGAACGACAAUACCAGACAAAAUCGUUUGAAAGAAUUCCGCCUUUGACGCGUGUCCAGAACAAGUCAUACAACGUUAACAUUUCUUUCAUAUCGUCUUGUGUCUCCAAAAACGCUUUCAGUGCCCUAGGGUGUACCUGACCGACCAGUUGAGACGGUUCAUAUUCCAUUGCCACGGUGAUGGAAUAACUCUGAAUGCAAAAAUGGUUAAACAAUAGUUGUUGUAAUAUUUAAAGUUUUGCGCUGUCUGGUUUUUUUUUUUUAUAAUUGUGUUCGAAAUAAAAAACAAUUUAUACAUAAUCUCUUACCGUCAAAAGGAGCCAAAAUAAUUUUGCCGUGUUUUUCAUAAUAGUUUUUUAAAUCAAUCACAGAUAUUUUAACUUUUAAGAACCAAUUGUGGCACUCGUGUGCUUUAGUAGGGAUAUUUUCUACUCGAGUGCCUAGCGUGGCCGGUUGUCGAAAGACAGUCAAAAGGCGUUUAAAAAAUAGGUAUUGAUUUCGAGUGUCGCACAGCUGAGUAAAGACUAAGUUUCUAGUAAAGCAUUUUUACGGCCUUACGUUUGGUGUUUUGUCCAUAAUCAUUUUAUGUUUUACAAGAAAUGUGAACGCAUUACAUAGCAUGACAUUACAUUACAAGUAUCGAACGCAUUUUAUAGAAAUCGGUUAUUCUUCAAUUUACACGAUGUUAUAGUUAAUACAUUUUACGGACAAAAAAUGUACAUGCAAGUAGAAGUAUAAACAAUUUCUUACCACAUUAUUUAAACAAACGUUUAAAGAGUGGCGAAUAAAUGCGCAAUUACUUAAAACUAUUAUAUUAACUAAAAUGGCUCGUACUCAUAGACAAAAUGAUUUAAAUUAAAAAUAAUACCAUGAAGCUUAUAUAAAUUAACCGGUAAACUAAUUGACAUGGUCGAAAUUGAUUAAAACCACUUUUUUAUUAAUUGUUGCCUACACAAAACUCCUUAAAAAUGGCCGGUCUCCAGAGGCCUUAACAGUACACAUGAAUCUAAAAUAAAGAGGAACGGUUAAGGAUUACACGAACAAUAUUACAGCUUCGGAAGUAGGUACAAAUAAUUAUCACAAAUAGAAUGGAAAUGUAAAACUUUAGUUUGACAAUCAACGAAACUAGUGGAACACCCUGUGGCCAAAAUACAAGAAAUUGUUUAACGUAGAAGGUGCAAUCACUUAUAAAAAAAAACUAAAUAUUUUAACUUUUGAUAAUAACUUGAAAACGCACACCUUAAAAUAUAAGCUUAUGUGUUAUAACUUGCCCAUUGAUAGUAUAAUAUGAUUAUGAAGAUAGCACAACAAAAGCCGGCACCAUACCUUGAAUUGGUAAGUCGGGUGCCGGUAAAAUGUCAACUUGAGUUGUCUAUCCAGUAAAAACUAAGGGAAACCACCAAUGAACAACCUAUGCUAAAAAAUUUUAAAUAUUUUUUGUUAAUUAUUAUUAUAAAAAUUAAUGUUAUGUAUUUAAUAAAUACAAAAUAAUUAAAUAACAGUCAUAACAUAAUAUCAUGUACCCUUUAUUUAUGUAUAAUCUCCAAGCUUGAUACAAUCUUGUUUAGGUAUUUUUAAGAGCAUACAAAAUUGGCCUGUAAACUUGUACAUUUUCAAAACCUGUUGACAAACUUGGCUUUUAUGAGCAAUUUAAAUAAUAA